AUACGGAGGGUGCAAGCGUUACUCGGAAUCACAGGGCGUAAAGCGCGCGCAGGCGGUCUUUUAAGUUGGAUGUGAAAGCCUACGGCUCAACCGUAGAACUGCAUCCAAAACUAUUAGACUAGAGUGUGGGAGAGGAAGAUGGAAUUAGUUGUGUAGGGGUAAAAUCCGUAGAGAUAACUAGGAAUACCAAAAGCGAAGGCAAUCUUCUGGAACACUACUGACGCUGAGGCGCGAAAGCGUGGGGAGCAAACAGGAUUAGAAACCCUUGUAGUCC
rnacentral:rRNA from 1 species